rnacentral:lncRNA from 1 species
GCCUCGACCUCUGAAGGCAAAGACCUCGACCAACGCAGCCCGAUCGCCGAACCAACGGCUCGAUUGUCGAUCGUCGAAUCUACGACUCCGUCGUCGAACCGAUUGCCGAUCGCCGAACCAACGGCUCGAUCACCGAUCGUUGGAUCUACGACGAAUCUAUGACUUGAUCGUCGAUCGUCGAACCAACAGCUCGAUCGUCGAUCGUCGGAUCUACGAUGAAUCUAUGGCC